ACUAUUAGUCUAUUAUACACCUAACCAGCCAACCUAACUAUAUAUUAUAUAUUCUCAUAUCAUAUAAAUCAUGCACUAGUAUAGUAUGCUACAAAUUAAGGAAAUAUCUUAGACUAGCUUCUUUGAUCUACUUAUGUAUACACCUCAUAUUUUCUAUCUCCAUAUUUAUAUUAUAGAAAAAACUUGCACUUUUUAAAGAAUUUUUCCUUCUCUUUUGUUUCCAUUUGAAUAAAAAAUUUCAUUGAUUAUAUAUAUUCCUCUUCUAUUCUUUAGGAAUUAUUUAAUUUAAUUCUUCUUUGAAGAUAUUGUCUUGUCCAUUUCUGAAGGUUGGAGUUAUAGAAAUAUGUAUCAUAACUACCAUCGUCAUCACUAUCACUCCCAACCUUGUUUGCAUUGCCACCCUCAAAGCUACAUUAGGAUGGUUCAACACCUUAUAGAAAGGUGCUUGCUUCUUCAAAUGGACCGACCGACCGAGACCAAUGUAUUAAGGCUUUGGCUGAACAUGCAAAAAUCAAGCCUCUAAUUACACUUACAGAGCCAUAUAAAUAAUACUCGUAUUGUUGUUGGCUCCAAUUUUGCAAUUUGGAGGGAGCUUUUGAAAGAAAACAGGAAUUUUUUUCAAGCAUAUUUUCAUGGUGUUUCUCCUACUCCGCUCAUAAAUAGACAUGUUUAACAAUCACCAAGAUUCACAAGAAGGCGAUAUUGGAGGUGAUCACAGAUAUUACAUAUAUAGUUUAGUAGCUAGCAAGAUAUAUAGUUUGAUCGACCAACAACAUUGAUAAAGCUCUGCGAUUUGUCGAUUUUAGCUUGUUUAUGAAUUCAUUGUACCUAUAAAAGAUCAAUGAUAUGAUGCUAUAUAUACCAGAAAUAUGUAUAACAAAAUUCGAUUGCCUUAGCUUACGUCUUAGCCAUAUAUGGAUUGGAAAUAAUUCACAUAAAUAUAGGAAUUGAGACAUGCAUGAUUUAUCUCUCAAUCUUUUACA